GACGAACGCUGGCGGCGUGCUUAACACAUGCAAGUCGAACGGAAAGGCUACAGCUUGCUGGCGUACUCGAGUGGCGAGGAGGUGAGUAAAACGUGGGUAAUAUGCCCUGAUAACGGGGAUAUGCCUGGGAAACUGGGUAUAAUACUGGAUAUGAUCUUUCUAAUUACAGGGUUUAGUGGAGAGUUGUUCGGUGUCGGAUGAGCCCGCGGCGUAUCAGCUUGUUGGGGAGCGGUUGAACGACCACGGCGUCGCCGGGUAGCCGGCCUUAGAGGUUGAUCGGCGACAUUGGUCCUAAGAUACGGCCCAGACGCCUACGGUAGGCAGCAGUGGAGAAUAUUGCACAAUAGGCGGAAGUCUGAUGCAGCGACGCCGCGUGAGGAAUACCGUCCUUCUGGGGAUAAACCUCUGUCAGCAGGAACGAAGCGUAAUUGACGGUACCUGCAGAAGAAGCACCGGCUAACUAUGUG
rnacentral:rRNA from 1 species